rnacentral:tRNA from 1 species
GAGGGUAUAGCUCAGCGGUAGAGCGCAUGCCUGAUAUGCACAAGGUCCUGGGUUCAAUCCCCAGUACCUCCA